GGGCCUGUAGCUCAGUUGGUCAGAGCACUCGACUCAUAAUCGAAUGGUCGUAGGUUCAAGUCCUACCAGGCCCA
rnacentral:tRNA from 1 species